CUUCCGUAGGGUGAACCUGCGGAAGGAUCAUUACCGAGUGUAGGGUUCCUAGCGAGCCCCACCUCCCACCCGUGUUUACUGUACCUUAGUUGCUUCGGCGGGCCCGCCAUUCGUGGCCGCCGGGGGCUCUCAGCCCCGGGCCCGCGCCCGCCGGAGACACCACGAACUCUGUCUGAUCUAGUGAAGUCUGAGUUGAUUGUAUCGCAAUCAGUUAAAACUUUCAACAAUGGAUCUCUUGGUUCCGGCAUCGAUGAAGAACGCAGCGAAAUGCGAUAACUAGUGUGAAUUGCAGAAUUCCGUGAAUCAUCGAGUCUUUGAACGCACAUUGCGCCCCCUGGUAUUCCGGGGGGCAUGCCUGUCCGAGCGUCAUUGCUGCCCAUCAAGCACGGCUUGUGUGUUGGGUCGUCGUCCCCUCUCCGGGGGGGACGGGCCCCAAAGGCAGCGGCGGCACCGCGUCCGAUCCUCGAGCGUAUGGGGCUUUGUCACCCGCUCUGUAGGCCCGGCCGGCGCUUGCCGAACGCAAAUCAAUCUUUUUCCAGGUUGACCUCGGAUCAGGUCGGGAUACCCGUUGAACUUAAGCAUAUCAAUAAGCGGAGGA
rnacentral:rRNA from 1 species